rnacentral:rRNA from 1 species
AGAGUGAACGCUGGCGGUAGGCCUAACACAUGCAAGUCGAACGGCAGCACAGUAGGAGCUUGCUCUUACGGGUGGCGAGUGGCGGACGGGUGAGGAAUACAUCGGAAUCUACCUUUUGGUGGGGGAUAACGUAGGGAAACUUACGCUAAUACCGCAUACGCCCUUCGGGGGAAAGCCGGGGACCAGCAAUGGCCUGGCGCUGAUAGAUGAGCCGAUGUCGGAUUAGCUAGGUUGGUGAGGUAAUGGCUCACCAAGGCGACGAUCCGUAGCUGGUCUGAGAGGAUGAUCAGCCACACUGGAACUGAGACACGGUCCAGACU